AUUGAACGCUGGCUGCAGGCCUAACACAUGCAAGUCGAACGAGUGGCGGACGUGUGAGUAAUGUCUGGGAAACUGCCUGAUGGAGGGGGAUAACUACUGGAAACGGUAGCUCAUACCGCAUACCAUCGGAUGUGCCCAGAUGGGAUUAGCUAUUAGGUGGGGUAAAGGCUCACCUAGGCGACGAUCCCUAGCUGGUCUGAGAGGAUGACAAGCCAAAGUGGAACAGAGACACGGUCCAGACUGAUGCGGGUGGCCGCAGUGGGGAAUAUUGGACAAUGGGCGCAAGCCUGAUGCAGCCAUGCCGAGUGUAUGAAGAAGGGCUUCGGGGUGUAAGGUACUUUCAGGGGGGAAGCGUUACACGUAGAAGAAGCACCGGCUAACUCCGUGCCAGCCAACGCGGUAAUUC
rnacentral:rRNA from 1 species